CUCUUUCCUUUUUUUGUUUUCCGAAAUACAAAAAACAGGCCUGGAACUCUGGUCGUCCGGUAAUAAAAUUUAAGGGUGAACGGAGCAAAAGAAAAUCAUCUUGAAUGGAGGAACAACAUCCUGAACUUAGCAGACAGGUGACUGAGAUUCUACACAAGAGAAAGACCCCAGAGAAGUUGUGGAAGGAGACAAAGAAGACAUGGGACAUCGCCCUACCAGCUAUAAUAACAGCAGUUACACAAUUCUCCCUCGAACUUGUCACUUCUGCCUUUGCCGGACAUCUGGGAGAUGCUGAGCUUGCUGCAGUCUCUGUGGUUCAGAAUGUUAUAGAUGGCUUUGUCUAUGGGGUCAUGUUGGGGAUGGGUAGUGCUCUUGAAACCCUUUGUGGUCAAGCGGUCGGUGCUGGACAAGUUGGCAUGCUUGGAAUCUACCUGCAGAGGUCAUGGAUCAUCACCAUCGUCACAGCUUUGUUCUUGACUCCUAUUUACUUGUUUGCCUCGCCCAUACUCAAGCUUUUACACCAAAACAGAGAUAUCUCCAACCUUGCCGGUAAAUUUGCACUGUGGGUGAUACCUCAAUUGUUUGCAUAUGCUCUGAACUUCCCCGUACAGAAGUUCUUCCAAUCUCAAAGCAAAGUUUGGAUGAUGACGAUACUCUCUAUAGCGUCAUUGGCGCUCCAUGUGUUACUGAAUUGGGUUCUCGUGACGAAGCUCGGCCACGGCUUGCUCGGUGCUGCAAUGGCAGGAAACAUCACAUGGUUUCUGCUGGAUAUAUCCCAAAUAAUCUAUGCAAUAUCAGGUUGUUUUCCAGAUGCAUGGAACGGCUUUUCCUGGUUGGCUUUCAAGUCAUUGACCAACUUUGUCAAGCUCUCACUUGCGUCAGCAAUAAUGUUAUGCUUGGAAUUAUGGUACUUUACAGCAGUUAUCCUGAUGGUAGGAGGUUUGAAGGAUGCUGCAGUCGCAAUCGAUGCCAUAUCAAUCUGUAUGAACUUGCAACUAUGGACAAUGAUGAUUGCCGUAGGCUUCAAUGCAUCAGUCAGUGUAAGAGUGUCAAAUGAACUCGGAGCCGGGAAACCAAACGCUGCAAAGUUCUCAAUCAUAGUCAAUGUUUUGACAUCUGGGAUACUUGGAAUUGUCUUUGCGGCAAUCAUCAUUGGUACAAAAAGCAAGUUUCCCUUAUUAUUCACAGAUAAGGCACAGGUCAUAAAAAAGACAUCCAAGCUGGGAUACGUUCUCGCAGCAACCAUAUUCCUCAACAGCAUCCAACUAGUUUUAAACGGGGUAGCUGUUGGUGGAGGAUGGCAGUUCUCAGUAGCAUUGCUUAAUAUAGUGUGCUAUUAUGCAAUCGGGCUUCCAUUUGGAGCAGUGCUUGGCUACAAAUUCAAUCUGGGGGUGCAGGGCAUCUGGUGGGCAAUGCUCGGCGGUAGUUUUCUCCAGACUGUCAUCUUGUUAGUCAUCAUAUCUCGAACAAAUUGGCAUAAAGAGGCUGUGGAAGCUGAUGACCGUGUGAGAACAUGGGGAGGAGCCACCGCCCCAACGGACCUGCCUCAACCUCAAGAAACUACCUGACAUUUCUGCACUCCGCCCCGGUUGCUGGCCGAAUGGCAAUUACAAUUGGGCCGUCAGCCGGUUUGAUUUCGUCAGUCUUUCAGCCAGAAUUGGAGUUAAAAUUGACCGGAUCAACUCUGUUUCGGUCAAGCAAAAAGGAAAAAAAUUGCCCGGAUAAUGUUGAUCAUAAAUUCUCUAGGCCGUGCACUUGCUGUUUGUGCAAACUCCAGGACGUCAGUUGUCAGUUGUCACCUGAGAAGAGAGAGCAGUAGAGAGGAGAAAAGACAAGAGUCGGAUUCUUGAAUGGAGGAAAACCAUCAUGAAUCAGGGACUGAGCAACGGCCCAGGAGAAGAGUUCAUUCAAGUAAAUGGUAGGCUGAGUCUAAAAAGACGUGGAAAAUAGCUUUGCCAGCCAUGCUCACUUCAGUCUCUCAAUUCUCUAUCGACUUUGUGUGCACAGCCUUCGCUGGACAUCUAGGAGCUCUGCGGCUUGCUGCAGUCACUGAGGCUGAGAAUGUCAUAAUUUGCUUUGCCUAUGGGGUAAAUGGCAUGUUUUCUGCUGUCCAACUGUUUGUCUGUGAU